CCUGAUUAUUUUUGGAGGUUAAAUACCACAUAAAAAGCUACACAUAUCAACCUUUAGAACACAAAACACAUUACAUAUGACCGAGAUAUAAGGCCUGACAUUUGCCAAAAAAAUAUUUCUGGACACUUAGAAUAUUUUCUGGGUUUGAAAAACAGCCGGUCAAUGCUGGUCAACCCACUUUGACCGCUUAGAAAUACCGAUCUACAAUAGAUAUAGACCUGAUUCCUUUUGGAGUUUAAAGUCCACAUAACAAGCUACACCUAACAACUUUUAAAAAACAAAAAAAGUAAAUAAUCACAUAGAUAUAAGUCUUGACAUUUGUCCAAAAAUCACAGAAUUCGGUUUUUCCAACUUGUUUAAAUCUUCAAAUUCGUGCACUUUGAUGUUAUGGGUUCAUGAUUUUACAACCCAGAACAUUAAUAGACUCUCUAUUACACUACUUUAAACAAUCAAUUGCAUCAAUUAACAUCGAAUCGAAGGAUUUCUAGAAUUUAGGAU
rnacentral:lncRNA from 1 species